CUGUCCCAGCCCCUCAACAGUCUUCUUCCUAUAAAAGCAGAACAACUUGACACCAUGUGAGCCAGUUCAUCUAACACCUUAGUGAAGUUUUUAGCAGUCUUGCAUUUGCUUAUGAAGUUCGGUGGAGGGCUGGAAGGAAAGAGCGGACAGGUUUACACAUAAGCCCUGGCACAGAAAAAAGCAUGAGAGAGGACUUUCAUGUGAGAGAAAGCCCUCAGUCCAGCAUCCAUGGUCUCCCUAAGAUAUUAUAAGUGAGUUUGCAUGCAAAUUGAAAGGACAAUCCAUGUGCAGAGGCCAUGAGCUGGUUUGUGCCAAUUUGGUGCUGGUCUAGAUGGUGGAUGAGCACAGCCAUAUUGUUCAGCAAUGAAAAAUGCUGGUCAACCAGCAUAUUCUUUCUGAUGAAGCUGGUUAACCAAGGGAAGCUUGGUGUUAACCUUGGUAAGCCUGGCAGAGACACCAGCAUACAAAACAACACAUGGAUUUUUUAACAGUGUAAUCUUUAGGAAAUACAUUUCACUAAAGAUAAUCUGAAUUGUCAUCUGCCUUUUCCACCCAUCAAGUUUUCCAAUGCAGCCUUUGAGGGAGUGACUGCUCUCAAAUAUCUGCACAUUGAGAACAACAAACUGAAGUCCCUCCCGAAAAGCCUUGAGUUUACCACCAUCCAGAACAUUACUCUGUUUAAUAACCCAUGGAGCUGCACCUGUCAGUUAGCAAACCUCAAAAAUUGGAUGGACACUAGCCGACAUCGCCCUGAUGCAGUUUGUGCUUCCCCUGGAAACCAAAGAGGAAAGCAAAUUAGAGACAGCACAGCUUUCACCCGCUGCAAGGCAAAGAGGGAAAAGAAGGGAGCACGGAUUUGAGAUGGAGGACAGGGAGCAGAGACCUGUCCAGGUGACGGGACUUAAUGUGCUGUAAGAGAAAUUAAUGCAAACUUCUUCUACAUUGGGACUGUAUAUUUCCUCUAUCACUCUAUUUUUGUGUGACAUUUAUAUGUGCCACCUCAUUUCAUACUAAACAACAUGAAUAGCAUAAAUGUGUUCACAAGACACUGAAAAACCCUUGAAGGAGCAACUAUGUACAAUUGCAAAGUGACAUCUACAGAAAUGUGUACACUGCAAACGCCUCAUACUCACAGUCUGGAAAGAAUUUGUUAAUCCUUUCUCAGUGUUCACACUAUUUUAUUGCUCUCUUAAUCUUUCACAAGUGUUAUACUCUUAGUAAUCACUGAUAUGCCAAUUAAGAUCUUUGGCAACCUGAUAUGAAAGAGAUAAUUCCAAUAUUAAUGAUCAGAGGACUUGUUUCUCUCAUAGUGAAAAUCACAUCAGAAUUGGCAGAAUGGAAAGUUCUGUUGUAAUUUUGAUCAGCGUUAGCCAUUUUCAAUUAACUGUCUGUCAUAUUUACUGGGAGACUCAGUAGUGCCAUUCUUUCCCCUGCUUUUCCAUGCAUCUAACCUUUUUAGGUUUUCCAACUUACUGCAAGGAAUUUCUGAGGCUUUGCAAACACUACAAAACUAACUUGAAAGUGAUAACUGACACACAUUCAAGAUGUGACUUGAGCUGACCUCUCCUUUACAUCUCUGGCCAAAGUCAAAGGCAACAAUAACCAUGAAGUCAAGGACUCCUUUUUAAAGCCAUGUAAAAAGGUAAAAAGAAAAAAUGUAGACACUAAGUGAAAUGAAGUAAUGGUGAAGAAAGGUGGUGAGGAUUUAAGGAAAGAGGAUAAAUGAGAAUGGAAUGAAAAAAAAGACAAAUGGAGGUUCUCCAGUCUAAUGUGUUUCAUUUGUUUCUAUGAUGUACUCAUGUUUAAUAAAAGACAAAUUGAGCACCACUACAGUAA